UGUCUCUUAGAAACCAUGAUUCUUUUCCAGA
rnacentral:piRNA from 2 species